AGUGAACGCUGGCGGUAGGCCUAACACAUGCAAGUCGAACGGCAGCACAGUAAGAGCUUGCUCUUACGGGUGGCGAGUGGCGGACGGGUGAGGAAUACAUCGGAAUCUACUUUUUCGUGGGGGAUAACGUAGGGAAACUUACGCUAAUACCGCAUACGACCUACGGGUGAAAGCAGGGGAUCUUCGGACCUUGCGCGAUUGAAUGAGCCGAUGUCGGAUUAGCUAGUUGGCGGGGUAAAGGCCCACCAAGGCGACGAUCCGUAGCUGGUCUGAGAGGAUGAUCAGCCACACUGGAACUGAGACACGGUCCAGAAUCCUACGGGAGGCAGCAGUGGGGAAUAUUGGACAAUGGGCGCAAGCCUGAUCCAGCCAGACCGCGUGGGUGAAGAAGGCCUUCGGGUUGUAAAGCCCUUUUGUUGGGAAAGAAAAGCAGCAGGUUAAUACCCCGCUGUUCUGACGGUACCCAAAGAAUAAGCACCGGCUAACUUCGUG
rnacentral:rRNA from 1 species